UCCAAGAACCUGUUGACAAUGCUAAGUGAGGACUUAAAGUGUAUCGUUCUAGAAUGUUAGGGUAUUUCAUGUUCCAAAGGAAGGAUGAUUUGCCAAAUUCAUCUUUAAAGAACUAAACUAGUGAAUACUUCCCAAAGUAUUUUUCAGGAAAUCGAUUUUUAGUUUCAGGGGAAUAUACAUAAUCUUCAAGAGAUAUGAUCUACCUACCUGACAGUCUUAUAUUCCACACAACUGACCAGAGCCUCAACUUAUCUGCAAUCAACAAGACUCCUCUAGCCUUGGAAAAGCUUCUUGGUGACUCUGGACCCCAGAAAAAUCAAUAUUUUUCUCACUUCCUUUAUUAGAUUUAACGAUUUAACUUGUGAGGAGAAGAAAUUAGGUCUAAAAAUCUUGAACAGACUAUCUAUUUAGGGUAGUUUUAAAGUUUAUAAUCAGGACAAGACAAUAGGGUUAAUCAUACGCAAAUACAGUGUAAUUAUGUUGUUAGAUAAAAAAAAAUAGCCUAUGUAUGACCGUAUUGAAACAUUAAAAACUCAUUCAGUUGAAUUUCUGAAACACAUGUGGAGAAAAAAAACAUAAUAUACCAAAAUUUGCCAGCAAAUUCAUUUUUAAGUUCAUUUUACUUUGCCAGUCUUACUAUCCUGUGGGUACUGUACAAUACACAGAGUGGAAAAAUGUUAUUAGCCAUGUACAACACUCUAUGGACUAAAAGGUUCCUACUGCUUUCUUCAACUGCUGUGCUUCAUUUUACUG